CCAGACUCCUACGGGAGGCAGCAGUGAGGAAUAUUGGUCAAUGGGCGAGAGCCUGAACCAGCCAAGUCGCGUGAGGGAAGACGGCCCUACGGGUUGUAAACCUCUUUUGUCGGGGAGCAAAGCGAACCACGUGUGGUUCAUUGAGAGUACCCGAAGAAAAAGCAUCGGCUAACUCCGUGCCAGCAGCCGCGGUAAUACGGAGGAUGCGAGCGUUAUCCGGAUUUAUUGGGUUUAAAGGGUGCGUAGGCGGAGUGUCAAGUCAGCGGUAAAAUUUCGGGGCUCAACCCCGUCGUGCCGUUGAAACUGACGCCCUUGAGUGAGUGAGAAGUAAGCGGAAUGCGUGGUGUAGCGGUGAAAUGCAUAGAUAUCACGCAGAACGCCGAUUGCGAGGGCAGCUUACCGGCGCUCAACUGACGCUGAGGCACGAAAGUGCGGGUAUCGAACAGGAUUAGAUACCCGGGUAA
rnacentral:rRNA from 1 species